rnacentral:tRNA from 1 species
GCCUUGGUGGCGUAGUGGUCAAGACGCUCGCCUGGUAAAUAGGAGGACUUGGGUUCGAUCCCAGCCAAGGCA